CCCCUGGAGAGAGGGAAGGAGACACGAGGGCGAGUCCCUAGCUGGAGUGGGAAGACCGGAGAGAAGCGGAAAGACGCUCCCGGGGAGCGCGCAGAAGGAAUUCCAGAAGCAAAAACAAAAAAAGUUCGGGUACAGCGGCUCACACCUGUAAUCCCAGCUCUUAGGGAGAUGGAAACUGGAGGAUCACUUGAGGCCAGGAGUUCAAGACCAGCCUGGGCAACAUAGCAAGACCCAGUCUCUUAAAAGAAAAUUAAAAAGAAAGAGUAAAUAAAGUUCCAGAAGCUUUGCUCUCCUUAUCCAA
rnacentral:lncRNA from 1 species